rnacentral:lncRNA from 1 species
CGUCUCUGGGGCCGGGAGCGUCCAGCGGCCGUCUCUGAGGUGUCCGGCGAGGCAGGGCGUCUUCCCGCCUGUCCGCUAGAGCUGACUGUGGAACAAUGAAUACGGAACCCGGCCUCCUACCACUACAAUAACACCUGCUGAGCACCUCCAGGUGGCCUGCACUCUGCUAAAACCUUCACUUGGUAUCCUCAUACCUACCAGAGUUGAGAAUAAGGUUUCUGUUGUCGCGAUUCUACAGGAUUUCAAGAGUUCCAUCCCCUGCCUUGACUCUUCAACCUCUCAAGACUUUAUUUGCAACCCUCAGGGCAUCAUGGCAAAUUCUUUGAAAGGCGCAUUAUGAGGGGGUGUUUAAUGCCUCUUGAAUACUUAAAGAAUAUUUCUAUUGAUAAUUAUUUUAUGAAUUUUAUUAAGCAAUGUACUUAAUAGGAAAUUAAAAUAUCAAUAAAAUAAAAUAUUAAAUGUUAAUGUGUAAUGAGUGUUUUGAAUAAACAUAUUCAACAUCAUCUGUUGACUUGCUUAUAAAAUCUAAAAAAUAACAAAUUCCUAUAUGAACUACAGUGAAAAUGCAAACAACACUCUACCACAAAAAUAAUCUUUGCUUCAAUUAUCACAUCUAAG